rnacentral:rRNA from 1 species
CCUACGGGUGGCAGCAGUGGGGAAUAUUGGUCAAUGGGCUCAAGCCUGACCCAGCAACGCCGCGUGAAGGAAGAAUGCUUUCUGGUUUUAAACUUCUUUUAAUAGGGAAGAGCUGAAGACUGUACCUCUUGAAUAAGCCACGGCUAACUACGUGCCAGCAGCCGCGGUCAUACGUAGGUGGCAAGCGUUGUCCGGAUUUACUGGGGGUAAAGGGCGUGCAGCCGGGAAGACAAAGCAGAUGUGAAAUCCCGCGGCUCAACCGCGGAACUGCAUUUGAAACUGUUUUUCUUGAGUACCGGAGAGGUGAUCGGAAUGCGUUGUGUAGCGGUGAAAUGCGUAGAUAUAAGGAAGAACACCAGUGGCGAAGGCGGAUGAUUGGACGGCAACUGACGGUGAGGCGCGAAAGCGUGGGGAGCAAACAGGAUUAGAUACCCCAGUAGUC